rnacentral:lncRNA from 1 species
GGGUAGAUUUUAUGGAUUAACGCUCUCGGCAAAUUAAAACUCUUGCACCUAUUAUUUGAGUGGUCCGAAUAUUGCCAGCUGUUUUAAGUCUAAAUUUCUGUCCUUGUUCAAUAUACUCACAUUUUCCAGUGGUAUUUAAAAGUUUCACGUUCAACCUCACUGUCGACCUCCUAUUGUCCGACCUACCUAUUGUAUUUAAAAUUCUGCUCUAGUACUUAGCACACAAAGACAAAAUCUUGUAAAAUGCUAUAAUUUACAAUUUCCAUUUAAUUUUUAUUUUUUUUAUUUUUUUUGGGGGGGGGGGGUCUCUUCAGUUUAUCACAUAACUGACUGCUUAUUGAAAACGUUUUAAAUAUUUUUUUACUAUGGUUUUCAUCUACUGUUUUAAUACGAUUUAUAACAUUUGAUUUUUGUUUGUCAGGCAAGGAUAAAACUAAGAAAGAUACAAGUUUUUUCAGGUGUUUUUGCUUCAUUUUGACAUGAAAAGGGAAUAACGGGCGUCUAAAUUAAAGAGUUUGUUUUCAUAAUGCAUUGAACUUGCGAAUAUAUAUCUCACCUCACACGUUUUGAUCGGGAAAGUGAAACCUAUUGAUAGGAUGUACUUAGGUGAGGGUUUGGAAUUAUAGUGUCAAAUGUUAGUACUCCUUGGUGUUUUCCAUACGAUACAAGGUAAAAUAUUUUGCCCCAUAACACUUAUUCAUUUUUUAACAUAAUACUUAUUAGCUGAUAAAAGGUCAUUUGACAAAAUUUAAUCAGAUUCUUGAUUUUCUUUCUUUGAUUUGAGACCCAAAUAAUACCAAUGCAAAUAUAAGGUAAAGGUCCGAGUCAGUAUUUUC